UGGGGAAUAUUGCACAAUGGAGGGAACUCUGAUGCAGCGACGCCGCGUGAGUGAUGAAGGAAUUCGUUUCGUAAAACUCUGUUCUAUGGGAAGAAAAGGACUGUACCAUAGGAGAAAGCUCCGGCUAAAUACGUGCCAGCAGCCGCGGUAAUACGUAUGGAGCGAGCGUUGUCCGGAAUUAUUGGGCGUAAAGGGUGCGCAGGCGGAAAUGCAAGUCAGAUGUAAAAGGCAGUAGCUUAACUACUGUAAGCAUUUGAAACUGCAUAUCUUGAGAAGAGUAGAGGUAAGUGGAAUUUUUAGUGUAGCGGUGAAAUGCGUAGAUAUUAAAAAGAAUACCGGUGGCGAAGGCGACUUACUGGGCUCAUUCUGACGCUGAGGAACGAAAGCGUGGGUAGCAAACAGG
rnacentral:rRNA from 1 species